rnacentral:rRNA from 1 species
GACGAACGCUGGCGGCGUGCUUAACACAUGCAAGUCGAACGGAAAGGCCCUGCUUUUGUGGGGUGCUCGAGUGGCGAACGGGUGAGUAACACGUGAGUAACCUGCCCUUGUCUUUGGGAUAACUUCAGGAAACUGGGGCUAAUACCGGAUAGGAGCUCCUGCUGCAUGGUGGGGGUUGGAAAGUUUCGGCGGUUGGGGAUGGACUCGCGGCUUAUCAGCUUGUUGGUGGGGUAGUGGCUUACCAAGGCUUUGACGGGUAGCCGGCCUGAGAGGGUGACCGGCCACAUUGGGACUGAGAUACGGCCCAGACUCCUACGGGAGGCAGCAGUGGGGAAUAUUGCACAAUGGGCGGAAGCCUGAUGCAGAAACGCCGCGUGCGGGAUGACGGCCUUCGGGUUGUAAACCGCUUUCGCCUGUGACGAAGAGUGAGUGACGGUAAUGGGUAAAGAAGCACCGGCUAACUACGUG